AAUGUGGGAGAAGCAGAGGGGGAAGAGGGCGUCGCCAGCGAGGACAGCGAAGUCGACGCCGAAGAGGGCGUGGGUGGAGGGGCGGCCGCGGCGGAGGGGGGCGGCGUCCAUGCAGGGGAGGUCGUCGUGGACGAGGGAGGCGGCGUGGACCAUUUCUAGGGCGCAGGCGGUGGGGAAGGCGGCAGAGCGGGGGCCGCCGAGGAGCUCGCAGGUGGCGACGCACAUGAUGGGAGGGGCGCGCUUGGCGGUGCCGGCGAGAACGGAGUGGCGCAUGGCUUCGAAGAUACGGGGAGGGAACUGGAUGGGGAUGGAGGCGGACAGGGAGGACUCGAUUUGGGGGAG
rnacentral:misc_RNA from 1 species